rnacentral:rRNA from 1 species
UACGGAGGGGGCUAGCGUUGUUCGGAUUUACUGGGCGUAAAGGGCGCGUAGGCGGCCCGUUUUGUCAGGCGUGAAAGCCCUGGGCUCAACCUGGGAACUGCGCUUGGGGCGGAUGGGCUUGAGAUCGGGAGAGGAGAGUGGAAUUCCCAGUGUAGAGGUGAAAUUCGUAGAUAUUGGGAAGAACACCGGUGGCGAAGGCGGCUCUCUGGACCGACACUGACGCUGAGGCGCGAAAGCGUGGGGAGCAAACAGG